rnacentral:rRNA from 1 species
UACGUAGGGUGCGAGCGUUGUCCGGAAUUACUGGGCGUAAAGAGCUCGUAGGUGGUUUGUCGCGUUGUUCGUGAAAUCUCACGGCUUAACUGUGAGCGUGCGGGCGAUACGGGCAGACUGGAGUACUGCAGGGGAGACUGGAAUUCCUGGUGUAGCGGUGGAAUGCGCAGAUAUCAGGAGGAACACCGGUGGCGAAGGCGGGUCUCUGGGCAGUAACUGACGCUGAGGGACGAAAGCUAGGGGAGCGAAUGGG